CCUUCAGUUGCUUAGGGUGAGCAAGCCCAUAAUAUUCCAUUUAUAUUCUGUCUCCCUUUUCUGUUGGAGUUACAUAGGAGUGGUCCAUAGGGGGGGCACUAGUUACUGGUUGGGAACCAUCGGUCCAUAGGCGCGCGAAUAGGGGUCCAUCCAGUUUAUUCUUUUGGGGUUGUGUGUGGGACUUUCCUCUUGAUGUGGAAAAAUAGGCUCUUAGGGCAUAUGCUGCCUUUACCGGAAAAAGAAAGUCAACGGACUUCAUGGACGAGGAGGUGGAGGAUGAAUGGUAUGGCUUGCUCACUUGCUUAAAAACUUAUUUUCAAAAAUAAGGAGACAGAAUAUAAAUCUCCGAAUGGAGAAAAGCAUAUUCUAGUAUUUGCCCAUAAGCUUAUUUAAAAUAGGAGUGCUACAUAAGCAUAUGCUAAAGGGGGAGGAAUCCAUUUAUUAUUUCUUUCUUAGCCUGGGCCCAACUAUGUACAGAAAUCUACCUAUUAUUGCCUGCAUCGACAGCAAAGUAAACUCUCGCUGAUGAUAGAAGAACAACUCUUAGGGCAGUUGCAAGGAAACUAUGAGCUAUUUAUUGUUCCUUUCUUAGAAAAAAAGAUAAAGGAUGGCUUAUGGUCUAUUUUCUUACUUGACUAUCCUGCCUGACUUGGCCAAUAAAAGAUACCUAGCAUGACACAUCAGCUACGCCAUCUGAGCCUGUCCACUUGCUAGUCAGGAAAAAUAACCGCUCCGUUCCGUGGGCUUCUUUCGCAGCUCUCUUCACGCUCGCUUUACGAGUGCAACCAAGUUCAAUAAACUGUUCAUGCUAAUUCAUAGACUAUGCUGGUUUCUAUCUAAGAGUCAUGUGAGACGCUUCCUUCUCAUACACAUCUGAAGCAACGUUUGAUCAUCCGCAUUAGAGAGUUUUGCAGGUCCUUGAGAGAACGUUAUCCAGUCAGUUAUGACUUGACCAUGGUCUGAGGUGAAAUUGGUCCUGGUCCAUAAAAUGAAAGGUGCUGGGCAAGCGCAGAGAAGUCGUCUGAAGGGGAGUUCCAUAGGAAUGUUCAACUUCGAUCAACCUUGGUUUGGUCCCAUGCCUAAAAAAGACAGAAGGUCAAAAACAAAAUAGGGGUGAUAUAACCCACUACUCGCCUAAGAAUGUACUGACGUAAUCCCUACUAUGGCUUCCCGAAGGAUCCAGCUGCUAAGAGGGUCCGAGCCAUAACGGAUUGAUGUGACCGUAGCGGCGACUGGAAUCGAUCUGAAUGAGGCAGUUAUGGGACUUCUCUUAUAUAACAAUAUAUAUGGAGGAAGGAUUCAAAAAAGGUGGGGGUCAAGGUGUAUAAUACGAGCUCCACUUUCAGGCAAUGAGCUAGCUUAACCCUGAUUGCUUAAGGUUUAAUACAGUCAUGUUGGAUCUGCUACUAAGAAAGGAAGAGAAAGACUGAUUGCGACAGCUCAACCGGAUGAGACAUCUCUUAUUUACAGAACUGUGCCAACGUGUGCCUACAUUGUUUGAUUUACCAGUUCCGGGUAUUGGAUUUUUUUUGGAAUAGAAAGAAUGAAACUAGUACCAGCUUAUCGCCAACCGUGCUUUCUACCANNNNNNNNNNUUCUCUCCUGGGAUUGAAUAUGUUUUGCCUUUCCCCGAUGGUUCCGCAUUCCUAUGUGGGUAGGAUUCGCCAGGGAUGAGCGGCUUAUUUAGCCUAUGCGAAGCGCGAAGCAUAAGAGAAGAGUGUAGCGAAGCGAGUGUAAUACUUGUAGCGAAUAUAAGUAGUGUCAAAGCCUACACUGGCUUAGCUCUGCAGAUGUUUUCAGGACGAAGACGGUGAUACGAUACCACUCGCCAGUGAUGAUAAGAUUCACUCAUAGCAUAGGUGGAAGAUCCAUCCUAUUUUCUUUAUAGAUUUAUUUGUUCAAAGAAAAUACGCCUAAAAAUCAUUCAGGGAACCUACUCUUGGUAUCCUUUACCACAUUCACUUUCCAUAUUCCCUUUCUUUAGUUCAGACGCUAUCGUACCUCAGGGAAAAUCCAAAUUUCUAUCAACGAUUCCCACCCAACUCUGGAAUGACUCUCCCCUCUCUCCCUUAACAUAUAGAAGGCCUCUUAUCCGUCAACCACACCUUAAUAGCUCAGACUUCCGAGCCUUGCUGGAUGAUGCAGAAGGGCCAACAUCAGAGGAUCAAUUGAAUAACCAACUCUCCCGCCCCGCUGCCGCUACUGCUCGAAAACCUUUGGAUCCCCUACAGGACUGUCAUGAGCCCCUACAAGGAGUCUAAAUCAAGCCGAAACCAGAUACAGGAAGUGUUGACCCGGAUCAAUUGAGUGCGAGCCCUUUUAUCUUGAGCUGAUUCUCCUUAUUUUAGAGCUGUGGCGAAGGUAAAUUGAGCUCUGGCCUGUGGGGAAGGAAAAGGCUCUGACGAAGCUCCAGGGAUUACAGGAAGGUUUAGGCCGCAGCUCCAAACGGUCAGAAAAGAAGAUGGUCCCGCCCUUACUUCGGCUUGAGGAGUCGUUUUCUCGCUAUCUUCGUCGUCUGGAUUAGCCUUUUAGUAGCCUAGUAGGUUGUUUGAGUUUCAGGAAAGGAAGAGGUGCUUUCUAAAACAGCCGUUACCGCUAUGUUUUUUUUCAAUAAGUUCUUUUAGAGCAUCGUGCCCCACUGUCCGAAUAAAGUGUGCGCCUAAGGUGUCAUGUGUUUAAGAAUAUACGUCUAAUAGAAAUACUUUCCCAAUCCGUAUAAGAGGAAAGAAGGGUCCGGCAAUAAGCAGUAGAAUAAUAACCCGCAGAAGAAGUUUAAUCGCUUCCAGAGAUCGGAGCCAGACAAAGAUAAGACUCCACGGCGGCACGAUCGGGAUGAUCGGGUCAAAAAUGAGUCAAAACUUGUAAAACCCCGGUUUUGGCCUUGUUACUAAGGAGAAAUUGACAUACUUAGCAAACAGAGAUAGAAUUAUUUAAAAAAGAGAUCAGGAAAGAGCCAUUUCCCAACCAAAUAAAAUAGGAAAGCAUGAGGCUCAAAGCCCUUUCUCAUUUCGAAUUUCAUCUUAGUAUCGGUAAUGCCCCGCCCAAAAGUAUUUCAUCGCAAUCACACGCUAGCUUUGUUGGAAAAGCUCGUUUGCACCCACUAACUAAUACCUUCUCGUCAGUAUGGAAUUCUCCAUGCUUUCGCCUUGCUUUGUAGUCAUUUUCUAUGAGUAAUCGGUCCGAACUCAAUUUCAAGAAAAAACUCUAUCUCGCCUGUGGCCAAAAGUAGUGAAAAUGGUAUUUAGCUUAGUCAAUAUACAACACAACUGCUGAUUCUUCGCGAGAUGAAAACCCUUUGUCCUCCGUCUGCAGGGGCAAUUCCUGAGAAAAGUGCUACUAGCCCUUGUUUUGGUCAUGUCCACAGGCCUUUCCAUUCGUCUUUAUUCGUCUUUCUUCCGGCAAUCUAUGCAUAAUUCUACUUCUUGAACCACCGAAUCCGCUUUUGAAAAUGGAUAACUAGCUCCAUUCUGCGUCAAGUACUAAGGAUGGGCCCAAAGCACACUUUUGAAAGGCAUCGGUCACCUUAAAAACCCCAAAAGUAGGAAGUCUAGCGUGCUUCUUUAGUGCUGCUCUUCGAUCAGAUGCUUUCUCAUUGAACGAGGCAUAUUAAAGUGAAAGAAGUUCCAGGUCGAGUCCCGAGAAGGUGAUAGUUGAUUUUGAUCAUGAAGUUGGCACUGGACUUUGGAAUUGAUUCUGGACCCCCACCUGCUCAGGACGCCCCGCCUGCUCAGGACGAUCCCAUUACGGAUUUUCUGGAGGGGGACACGCUUGACCCAGCGCAAAAACGGGAAUUCAGAAAUAUUCUGAAUUUCUUGAAGACCAAAAGCAGAACGAACCUUCAAAAUGAGCGAAUCGUAAUAAAAAGAUGUUGGGGGGGCGAGGGUAGUAGUUACGAAUCCAGGGCAAUCAACCACUAUCUAAAAAGCCAGGUUGGACAACUGCGUGCUGGGGGAUUAGCAGGGGAUUUUGUCGUAAAGGAAUUACGGAAAUGGAAAAGGGACUUCAAAGCUCAGAAGAGACGGUCCCACUUCUAUCAGGGCCUUCUCGGGGUCUUGAGCAAUGUUAAUUUGCAUUGAUUGCAAACAGGGUGCGGGAUUCUCUGACGCAAACAAAGAAAUGGUCCCGGAGAAAGGAAUCAGUCUCUUCAGUCCGGCGCAUGCCUCAAAUUCAUUUUUCCUUUGAAUUACUCAUUUUUUGAAUUUCGCACCGGAAACUUUUCUAGGAGAAGUUCGAAUCCGUUCCGUUCGGAUAUUGAUCGGUCUUGGUUUGACAUGGUUUACGCGUUACUGGUUCCCGGAAGAGUCAAUUUCUCCAUUAGCUAAACUCUUUAUUACCCUACCUUUGGACUCGUAUUUUGUUUGUACACAAUCAACGGAGGCCCCCCCGACAUAUGUUGCAACGUCUUCAAUAGCAUGCUCUUACUUCGUCUUUCCCUUAAUAAGUCAUCAAAUUUGGUGCUUUUCGAUCCCCAGUUGCUAUGGGGAACAAAGGCAGAAAUACAAUAGAAUCCUCCAUUUAAGUGGUUCUCGCUUCUCCUUGUUCCUGCUCCUAACUCCUCCCCGGGUAGUUCCCAAUGUUUGGCACUUUCCAUACUUCGUGGGUGCAACAUCAACAAAUUCGCUCAUGAUCAAGUUACAACCUAAGAUCUAUGACUAUAUUAUGUUAACUGUUCGUAUUUUGUUCAUUCCAUCGGUAUGCUCCCAGGUACCUGUAAUUGUGAUCUAUUUGCCAGAACCAAGGGGUCUUUCUGUGGAAACCUUCACGAGCAAUCGUCGUUUUUUGAUGGUUUUUCUGCUUUUCACAGCUGCUCUUUCCACACCCCCGGAUAUCUGGUGCCAAACCGUCGCCCCUUUCCUUAUAUAUUCGAUAAUCGAGUUUGCUAUCUUUGUGGCAUUGAUUGUACAAGUUCGUGAAGAGGGCUGGACGAGUAGAAUGAGGGAAAGCGGCUCGAUCGAGAAAAAAGAGGAGUAGACUAGAAAACCUAGAACUUCAAAAGUCACUAUCAAUGAAUUCCCGAGCAAUUCUAAACCAACAUAUGCUCCGUAUAGACGGAAUCUCAGAUAAGAACCUAACAGAAGUUUCGCGACUCCUUCAUGGAAUAUAGGUCUUAGUAUAUAAAUAAUGUCAGUUCGAACCUGAUGAGUCGUUAUCAUCUGUUGCCCUAACUGAGUCCAUUAGCUCUUGUUGCCCUUCUAUGGUGGGGAUCCAUAGAGAGUUCGUUUUAUGAAAUAUCUGAUAAAGUAAAAAAAAGAGAGACAGGUGGUUGCAACAAUCACAAACCAUAGAAAAAAAUGCAUAUCCCGUGUGUGCUCUAGUUUCGGGUUCUCCUAGACCACCAUUAUGAACCAAAAACAACCAUACCUAGUGAAGGGGAGCUCUUCGCAGCUGUCAGUGGAAAGAUGGAAAUUGGUUCUAAAAGAGCCGAGCUAGGGAUAAGAGAUAUGGUUGGAUGGCAGAAUGGAAGGAAUGCUAUUCUAACGGGAACCGGGAAAAGAAUGGUUCCCAAUACAGGGCCCGAAGAAGAGAGACGAAAGGAAGUAGUGAAAGAAGAAAUAAAGUACGCGGAUCAAAGUGAAAAAUCACAUAGCUACUAAGUCAAAACGUCCAAUGAGAAUGGAGAUCAAGAGGGACAUGAAAUCCAUUAGCAGCUCUAUCAGUUAUUUCAUUAUUAGCAUUCCUUAACCAAUAGAAAAAGAAAGAGAUCACAAGCGUUAUCAGUCUCCAGACGCAUCUAUCUAUAAAAAGGAGUAGGGCACCUGAUAUGAGAUACAUACUGGAGUCAAGGAUUGAGACCACUAGUGAGAAGGCCAAUAAAUCGUUUUUUUGUAUCGGAAGGGAAAGAAGGACCAUCCAUUGGCAAGCACUAAAGGUAGGAAUCUAGUGGCUGCUGCAUCAAGCUCCAUCCAUGAUUUUACACUCUAGAGGAGAGAACUGCUGUGAGCCAGCUUUGUAGCGACCUUUCUUAUGCGGAAGCAAAACCUGUAUUUCUAUACGAGUUUCCUUCAGUUGCUUAGGGUGAGCAAGCCCAUAAUAUUCCAUUUAUAUUCUGUCUCCCUUUUCUGUUGGAGUUACAUAGGAGUGGUCCAUAGGGGGGGCACUAGUUACUGGUUGGGAACCAUCGGUCCAUAGGCGCGCGAAUAGGGGUCCAUCCAGUUUAUUCUUUUGGGGUUGUGUGUGGGACUUUCCUCUUGAUGUGGAAAAAUAGGCUCUUACGGCAUAUGCUGCCUUUACCGGAAAAAGAAAGUCAACGGACUUCAUGGACGAGGAGGUGGAGGAUGAAUGGUAUGGCUUGCUCACUUGCUUAAAAACUUAUUUUCAAAAAUAAGGAGACAGAAUAUAAAUCUCCGAAUGGAGAAAAGCAUAUUCUAGUAUUUGCCCAUAAGCUUAUUCAAAAUAGGAGUGCUACAUAAGCAUAUGCUAAAGGGGGAGGAAUCCAUUUAUUAUUUCUUUCUUAGCCUGGGCCCAACUAUGUACAGAAAUCUAUCUAUUAUUGCCUGCAUCGACAGCAAAGUAAACUCUCGCUGAUGAUAGAAGAACAACUCUUAGGGCAGUUGCAAGGAAACUAUGAGCUAUUUAUUGUUCCUUUCUUAGAAAAAAAAGAUAAAGGAUGGCUUAUGGUCUAUUUUCUUACUUGACUAUCCUGCCUGACUUGGCCAAUAAAAGAUACCUAGCAUGACACAUCAGCUACGCCAUCUGAGCCUGUCCACUUGCUAGUCAGGAAAAAUAACCGCUCCGUUCCGUGGGCUUCUUUCGCAGCUCUCUUCACGCUCGCUUUACGAGUGCAACCAAGUUCAAUAAACUGUUCAUGCUAAUUCAUAGACUAUGCUGGUUUCUAUCUAAGAGUCCUGUGAGACGCUUCCUUCUCAUACACAUCUGAAGCAACGUUUGAUCAUCCGCAUUAGAGAGUUUUGCAGGUCCUUGAGAGAACGUUAUCCAGUCAGUUAUGACUUGACCAUGGUCUGAGGUGAAAUUGGUCCUGGUCCAUAAAACGAAAGGUGCUGGGCAAGCGCAGAGAAGUCGUCUGAAGGGGAGUUCCAUAGGAAUGUUCAACUUCGAUCAACCUUGGUUUGGUCCCAUGCCUAAAAAAGACAGAAGGUCAAAAACAAAAUAGGGGUGAUAUAACCCACUGCUCGCCUAAGAAUGUACUGACGUAAUCCCUACUAUGGCUUCCCGAAGGAUCCAGCUGCUAAGAGGGUCCGAGCCAUAACGGAUUGAUGUGACCGUAGCGGCGACUGGAAUCGAUCUGAAUGAGGCAGUUAUGGGACUUCUCUUAUAUAACAAUAUAUAUGGAGGAAGGAUUCAAAAAAGGUGGGGG
rnacentral:lncRNA from 1 species